rnacentral:rRNA from 1 species
CACGUAGGGUGCGAGCGUUGUCCGGAAUUAUUGGGCGUAAAGAGCUCGUAGGCGGUGUGUCGCGUCGGCCGUGAAAACUUGGGGCUUAACUCUGAGCGUGCGGUCGAUACGGGCAUCACUUGAGUUCGGUAGGGGAGACUGCAAUUCCUGGUGUAGCGGUGAAAUGCGUAGAUAUCUGGAGGAACACCGGUGGCGAAGGCGGCAUCCUGGACCAAUUCUGACACUGAGGAGCGAAAGCCAGGGGAGCAAACGGG